rnacentral:rRNA from 1 species
UACGUAGGGGGCGAGCGUUGUCCGGAGUUACUGGGCGUAAAGGGCGCGUAGGCGGUUGGGCGCGUGUCCGGUGCCAGCCCGUUGCUUAACGACGGGAGUGCCGGGCAGACGGCUUGACUGGAGGGCCGCAGAGGGACAUAGAAUUCCGGGUGGAGUGGUGAAAUGCGUAGAGAUCCGGAGGAAUACCAAGGGCGUAGGCAGUGUCCUGGGAGGCAACUGACGCUGAGGCGCGAAAGCCAGGGGAGCGAACGGG